UUCUCCCCAAGCCCGGCCCUGGGAGGAGGUGUCGUCGGCAGAGAAGGACAGCACGGCUCCGCCCCGGAUCACCAUGGAAACCCCGGCCGGCUGCCAGGAGAGGGCACGCCAUGAUAACGUCACACUGGGAGUGACAGGAGGAGAACCAGGAAGUGGAAGCAUUGGCGCUACGAAUUCAAGUUCUGCCUCAAAGAUCAGCUCCGAUACUGCUGUAACCACAGCACAGGACAACACUAAGGACAUUCAGGAAAAGGACAUACGCUACCAUCCGGCGACUGCAAGGAUAGCAACAACUCCAACUCCAUCGGUGUUCAACUCGGAGAUCACUGCUUCCUUCGACCCAGAUGUCUUCUGGAUGAAGAUUUCAGCACGUCAAUGAUCAAAAGGAGGAUUUAUCUUCCACACUUGCUUGUGAAGAUAACAACAAGAAGAGACACCAGAACCUCGCCAGGACCCUCUGAUUUCACAGAGCAAGAAAAGCUGGGUUGUAUAAAAUCUACAAAGAGCACAACAGCAGAUCCCAGUUCACCUGUCACAAAACUGAGUUUAUCUCCUACUGCAGAGUUGAAGGACAUUGAAAUAACAAAGUUGUUUGUUUUCAAGAUAUUUUCCCGUUUACAAAUUGUUUUGCUAAGUUGAAAUUUUGCAGUUUUAAAGCUACAAAAUAUUUUCCUGUUUAUAAAUAGUUUUGCUAAGUUGAAAUUUUGUACAGUUCUAAAGUUAAAUGUUUUAAGUUAUAAUUCUAUGGUUAAAAGACCAAAUUGCUCCUAAAUAUAAGUACUGCAGCCACAGGUAUGGGAAAUCCAUUGACACUCAAGGAAACUAAAUUUGGCAAAAUUUGAAAUACACUGUCAAUGUCAUCUUGCAUGCAAAAGGAUCCUUGCAGGUAAGAUAACAAAGAACAAGCUGCAUAUUUGCA